GCCACACCGAGCGAAACCUAUGGGGAGCUGCUCGGCGGGGCGGCUUUGAUGAUUUCUUCAGACACAUGGAGCAGACUGACAAAUGGACUCUCAAGUGAAAGGUUGAUUCAUUGUCCUUUGGUUACCUGCCUCCUCCCCCUGCUGCGGUCAGACAUUUCAGACUUGUCAAAGAAGCAAUGGGCCUACCAAGUUGAGCAAGACAACUUCAAUUAUGAAAAUUAUGAUUGGAGAAGUUUUAGCCACCUAUCUCUUCUUCUCCCAUAAGUUACCUGUGGUCAGCCACGGUCGGGAGGCGGAUUAUGCCUGUGAUAACAGAAGGUCAAUGGUAGCCUAACGCUACCCGUCCUUCACCUCACUUCAUCUCAUCUCAUUUUAUCAUCCCAUGUCACCACAAGAA